CAGUAGCCGCGGGAAUACGGAGGGUGCAAGCGUUAAUCGGAAUUACUGGGCGUAAAGCGCGCGUAGGUGGUUUGUUAAGUUGGAGGUGAAAUCCCCGGGCUCAACCUGGGAAUGGCAGUGGAUACUGGCAAGCUAGAGUGUGUCAGAGGAUGGUGGAAUUCCCGGUGUAGCGGUGAAAUGCGUAGAGAUCGGGAGGAACAUCAGUGGCGAAGGCGGCCAUCUGGGACAACACUGACGCUGAGGCACGAAAGCGUGGGGAGCAAACAGGAUUAGAUACCCCAGUAGUCCCUGUCUCUUAUAA
rnacentral:rRNA from 1 species